rnacentral:rRNA from 1 species
UGAGGAAUAUUGGUCAAUGGGCGGCAGCCUGAACCAGCCAUCCCGCGUGAGUGAAGAAUGCGCUAUGCGUUUUAAACUUCUUUUUCAGGGGGGUAAAAUUCUGUAUGUAUACAGGACUGACGGUACCCUGAGAAUAAGCAUCGGCUAACUCCUUGCCAGCAGCCGCGGUAAUACGGAGUAUGCGAGCGUUAUCCGGAUUUAUUGGGUUUAAAGGGUGCGUAGGCGGAAUAAUAAGUCAGUGGUGAAACCCUGCGGCUUAACUGUAGAAUUGCAAUUGAUACUGUUGUGCUUGAGUACGGUAAAGGCAGGCGGAAUGUGUAAUGUAGAGGUGAAAUGCGUAGAUAUUACACAGAACACCGAUAGCGAAGGCGGCUUGCUGGGCCGUUACUGACGCUGAGGCGCGAAAGCGUGGGGAGCGAACA